rnacentral:rRNA from 1 species
GUAAAUGCGGGGGGAGAGGGAGGUGGAAUACGUGGGGUGGAAGGGUGAAUUGGAAUUGCGGGGCGGAAAGAGCAGGCAGGGGGUGGGAUAGAGUAGAGGUGAGAGCCCCAGGCUCAACAGGGGAAGUGCAUUUAAAACUGUCCAGCGAGAGUCUUGUAGAGGGGGGUAGAAGUCCAGGUGUAGCGGUGAAAUGCGUAGAGAUCUGGAGGAAUACCGGUGGCGAAGGCGGCCCCCUGGACAAAGACUGACGCUCAUGCACGAAAGCGUGGGGAGCAAACAGGAUUAGAUACCCGAGUAGUC